rnacentral:lncRNA from 13 species
AAAAUAUGUAGGGGUAAUCAUGUCAGUCACUAGGCACGCAAUUCCAGAACUUCACGGCACCCCACCUGGGUGUGAGAACAGCACCUCCCCACCUGGCUCUGUGACAUGGGCAUGGGUUCUCUGGGGCAGGAGAGUGCCUCCUGGGUAAAGGCAUUUGGGCGAGGCUCUGUGCUAGAGUCCCGUUCAGGGACAUCACAACACAUUAGCCUAGUAAAGGCUCUGGGAAGUCCUGCUGUGGAGAAACACAUUUCAUUGUAUUUGACCCUGUGUUUCCACAGACAUGUCACACUACAGAGCUGACUUCUCAGGCCCUGGUGAAGGGCCAUCAUUCCUCCUGCUAGAGCCUGGACCAUCAUUCCUCCUGCUAGAGCCUGAACCAUCAUCCCUCCUGUUAGAGCCUGGACCACCAUCCCUUCUGCUAGAGCCUGAGACACCAUCCCUCCUGCUAGAGCCUGGACCGUCAUCCCUCCUGCUAGAGCCUGGACCAUCAUCCCUCCUGCCAAAGCCUGGACCAUCAUCCCUCCUGAUAGAGCCUAAGCUAUCAUCCCACCUGCAAGAGAGCCUGUGUCAUCCCUCCUGCUAGAGCCUGGGCCAUCAUCCCUCCUGCUAGAGCCUGGGCCAUCAUCCCUCCUGCUAGAGCCUGGACCAUCAUCCUCCUGCUAGAGCCUGGGCCAUCAUCCCUCCCGAUAGAGCCUGGACCAUCAUCCUCCUGCUAGAGCCUGAACCAUCAUCCUCCUGCUAGAGCCUGGACCAUCAUCCUCCUGCUAGAGCCUGGACCAUCAUCCCUCCUGAUAGAGCCUGGACCAUCAUCCUCCUGCUAGAGCCUGAACCAUCAUCCUCCUGCUAGAGCCUGGACCGUCAUCCUCCUGCUAGAGCCUGGACCGUCAUCCCUCCUGCUAGAGCCUGGACCAUCAUCCCUCCUGCUAGAGCCUGGGCCAUCAUCCUCCUGCUAGAGCCUGGACCAUCAUCCCUCCUGCUAGAGCCUGGACCAUCAUCCCUCCUGCCAAAGCCUGGACCAUCAUCCUUCCUGAUAGAGCCUAAGCUAUCAUCCCACCUGCAAGAGAGCCUGUGUCUGAUUUUCAGCCACAUCUGCCCUGCAGCUUCAAGGGAGGUUUCUAAGAAUCUCAUCAAGCUCCACAGAGCCCCCAGUAGGCCCCUUGUGCCUCCUCAGACAGGAACCCCAAAACAGUGGCUUUCUCUCAAGGCUUGUGAUGCGGAAAGCAGAAGGCAGCACUCCUACCAUCCUCAUCAGCACCACCACCCUCACAAUGGCCACUGUCCCUGCGUGUCCCAGGUCUCACCUCCACCCUCACUGCAGCCCAGUCAGCCCAGCGAAGCCAGGACACUGUGGAGAUGCCUGGACCUGGGCAGGAGGCAAGAGAUAGCCCUACUGUGUCGGAUGCUGCUGUCUGAAGUCACCCAGAGCCCACAUCAAAUGGAGAGAAGGGCAGGGCCUGUUGGUUGGGAAGUUUCAGGGAAAGGAAAAGACAAAGGAGAACAUGGAGCUUCCAGGGCUUCUCCGCGGGACGGAAGCAGAACCCUGCCCUGCCCAGUUGAGUCCGGCCUGUGACUCUCAGCCGACCUCAUUCCAGGGAAGCCGGGCUCUCCCCUGCCCAGUGUAACGCAGAGGUUGGAGAAGACGCCUCUGUUCAGCCUCCCUCCCUCAUUCCUUCCUUCACUCCUUCCCUUACUUCUCUUCUACCUGCCAGGCACCUGCUGGGGGGCGGCAGCCCCUGCCCUCUUCACCCACACACCAAGGAGGAAACGUCACCGAUGCAAAGAGUGUGGGUGGCAGAGGGAGCGGGGCCAGGGAGCAGCAGUGGGGCUGCGUGAGGUGGGAAAGUCGGCCACAGUCUGCUGAAGGAAGGACUGAGUCCAGACCUCCAGGCAGUGGGGCAGCAGCCAGCAGUGCAAAGGCCCUGGGGCAGGAACAGGCUGUGGGGAACAGGAUGGGGUCCAGUCCAGGAAGGGGUCAGCAUGGCUGGGCUGAGUGGCCAGGCAAGGGCACAGAUCCCCAGUGUGGAAGCGGACGGGACCACGGUGGGCAGCCUGGAGUGGGAGCCUCACAGGGGUGAGAGAGAUGAGAAGCCAUCAUGCCCAGGGUAUGCCUUGGUGGGGAAGCUGGAGGCCUGCAGAUGGGCAGGUGUGGGUGUGAGGACAGACGAGGUCUGGGAGGGGCUGUGGGGUUGUGGCCCCUUCCUUGACCUGGCCCUUCCCCUGGGGCUGCGUGGUCAGAGUCCCUGCAGGCCUCGUAAGAUGCUGCAUUGCUGAGUGUCCCCUUCGGCCUCAGAAACAAGCUACACAGUUUGGCAAAGCUCCUCCCUACCCAGAGUGCCGGCCCCGAGAGAGCCUCUUCCUCCAGCAUCCCCCAAAGGCACUCUGCAGUCCACGGCUGAGCUGUGGGUCCACGAGAACCCCCUGAGCCUCCACGGUGCCAGGAUGUGAAUAUGGCAAACCUGCUCCUCCAUAAAACAGACACCUGGCCCUCGGCCUCACCCACAGCAGCCCCAGAAUGCAAAGGGGCCCUCAGAAGCCACCCCUGCCGCUGAGAUGGCAGCAGUGGGAGCAGC